rnacentral:rRNA from 1 species
AAUGAACGUUGGCGGCGUGGAUUAGGCAUGCAAGUCGUACGGGUCGGUGUAGCAAUACAACGGCAAGUGGCGAAAGGGAGAGUAACACGUAGAUACCUACCCUCUGGUCGGGGAUACCGCGGCAUAACCGCAAGUAAUACCCGAUAAAAUCUCCGGAUCAAAGGUGUGAUUCCGCCGGAGGAGGGGUCUGCGUUCUAUCAGCUUGUUGGUGAGGUAAUGGCUCACCAAGGCUAAGACGGAUACGGGGUGUGAGAGCAUGCCCCCGCUCACUGGGACUGAGACACUGCCCAGACACCUACGGGUGGCUGCAGUCAAGAAUCUUCGGCAAUGGGCGCAAGCCUGACCGAGCGACGCCGCGUGCGGGAUGAAGGCCUUCGGGUUGUAAACCGCUGUCGAGGGGAAUGAAGUGCAAGUGAGUUAUCUCAUUUGUUUGACAGAUCCCUGGAGGAAGCAUGGGCUAAGUUCGUGCCAGCAGCCGCGGUAAGAC